GAUGAACGCUGGCGGCGUGCCUAAUACAUGCAAGUCGAGCGAACGGACGAGAAGCUUGCUUUUCUGAUGUUAGCGGCGGACGGGUGAGUAACACGUGGAUAACCUACCUAUAAGACUGGGAUAACUUCGGGAAACCGGAGCUAAUACCGGAUAAUAUUUUGAACCGCAUGGUUCAAAAGUGAAAGACGGUCUUGCUGUCACUUAUAGAUGGAUCCGCGCUGCAUUAGCUAGUUGGUAAGGUAACGGCUUACCAAGGCAACGAUGCAUAGCCGACCUGAGAGGGUGAUCGGCCACACGGGAACUGAGACACGGUCCAGACUCCUACGGGAGGCAGCAGUAGGGAAUCUUCCGCAAUGGGCGAAAGCCUGACGGAGCAACGCCGCGUGAGUGAUGAAGGUCUUCGGAUCGUAAAACUCUGUUAUUAGUGAAGAACAUAUGUGUAAGUAACUGUGCACAUCUUGACGGUACCUAAUCAGAAAGCCACGGCUAACUACGUG
rnacentral:rRNA from 1 species